rnacentral:snRNA from 1 species
AUAAAUUAUAUUUUGUAAAAAAAAUCUGUUCUUAUCAGUUUAAUAUCUGAUACGUCCCCCAUCGGGGGACUACAUAUUAAACAGAUUUUUCGAACAGGGAGUCGGAAAUGGGGCUUGCUCCGUCCGCUCCACGCAUCGACCCGGUAUUGCAGUACCUCCGGGAACGGUGCAACACUU